rnacentral:rRNA from 1 species
GAUCCUGGCUCAGGACGAACGCUGGCGGCGCGCCUAACACAUGCAAGUCGAACGAGCGAGAGAGAGCUUGCUUUCUCGAGCGAGUGGCGAACAGGUGAGUAACGCGUGAGGAACCUGCCUCAAAGAGGGGGACAACAGUUGGAAACGACUGCUAAUACCGCAUAAGCCCACGGCUCGGCAUCGAGCAGAGGGGAAAGGAGCAAUCCGCUUUGAGAUGGCCUCGCGUCCGA